rnacentral:rRNA from 1 species
GACGAACGCUGGCGGCGUGCUUAACACAUGCCAGUCGAACGGAAAGGCCCUGCUUUUGUGGGGUGCUCGAGUGGCGAACGGGUGAGUAACACGUGAGUAACCUGCCCUUGACUUUGGGAUAACUUCAGGAAACUGGGGCUAAUACCGGAUAGGAGCUCCUGCUGCAUGGUGGGGGUUGGAAAGUUUCGGCGGUUGGGGAUGGACUCGCGGCUUAUCAGCUUGUUGGUGGGGUAGUGGCUUACCAAGGCUUUGACGGGUAGCCGGCCUGAGAGGGUGACCGGCCACAUUGGGACUGAGAUACGGCCCAGACUCCUACGGGGGGAAGCAGGGGGGAAUAUUGAACAAGGGGCGGAAGCCGGAUGCAGCAACGCCGGGUGCGGGAUGACGGCCUUCGGGUUGUAAACCGCUUUCGCCGGUGACGAAGCGUGAGUGACGGUAAUGGGUAAAGAAGCACCGGCUAACUACGU